CUGCAGUUGCAGACCCCCAUCCUCCCGGGCUGUAGCGGGGGCGCAGGCUGGCGGAAAAGACCUACCUUCUGUCACCACAAGGGAGGAAAUAGUUGUCCUGACCCCAUUCUCCUCAUCUUCUCUGAUCUCCUGCCUGGGCUUCCCACUGGCCAAACCUACCUGGAAACCAGACGCGAUGAGCUCUGAGAUGUCGAUCAGCUUGGAGAACAUGCAGGAACCAAGGGAAUUCUGGGGCACAGAACUUCCAGCCAUGGAAGAGAAGGGUUUAAUCUUCACCUUUUUUCCCUUCCCCUUUCCCCCAUUCCCCAAAUUGACCUUCAACCAUCCUCUGCUUUGAUUCAAUCUAUAUUCGAUGUGUACCGUAUUAUGAAUAGUCAAAGAUACAGUACAUACUUGAAUUAUAUUUCUUUUUUUGUACAACUUC